rnacentral:lncRNA from 1 species
ACAAUUUCAAUUUCUUCCUCUUCUAUUUUUUCCAUUCAUUUAUUCCAUAGUCUUUAUAGCAGCUCGUCUAUCUUCAAAAUGAACAAAUGCAUAAUCUUUCGACUUCUUCACUCUCUCCAGUUUUCCAAAUUCAGAAAAUGAUUUUUUCUAAUAUUUCUUCUGUCACUGUGGUAGCCAGGUUUCUUACAAAUAAAACUUUUACCUUUGCCAUGACUUCUGAAUCCAGCUCUACCAUGGAGUCAGCCCACUCAACUGUCUGCAUAACUCCACAUAAAAAUGUACUUUUGUUCUGAACAUGGGAUAAGUCACUUUCUUUGAACUGCUGUAGUACAGAAAGAGC